rnacentral:rRNA from 1 species
CCUACGGGCGGCAGCAGUGAGGAAUAUUGGUCAAUGGACGAGAGUCUGAACCAGCCAAGUAGCGUGAAGGAUGACUGCCCUAUGGGUUGUAAACUUCUUUUAUAUGGGAAUAAAACGUUCCACGUGUGGGAUUUUGUAUGUACCAUAUGAAUAAGGAUCGGCAAACUCCGUGCCAGCAGCCGCGGUAAUAAGGAGGAUCUGAGCGUUAACCGGCUUUAUUGGGUUUAAAGGGAGCGUAGGUGGAUUGUUAAGGCAGUUGUGAAAGUUUGCGGCCCAACCGUACAAUUGCAGUUGAAACUGGCAGUCUUGAGUAGAGUAGAGGUGUGCGGAAUUCGUGGUGUAGCGGUGAAAUGCUUAGAUAUCACGAAGAACUCCGAUUGCGAAGGCAGUUCACUGGACUGCAACUGACACUGAGGCUCGAAAGUGUGGGUAUCAAACAGGAUUAGAUACCCGUGUAGUC